UCAAAUCAGGUAGGACUACCC
rnacentral:rRNA from 1 species